ACUGCGUACAACUCAAGACAACCAGAGACAACACCUAUGGGAUACCAUUGACGGUGCACCCGAUAAUUGGCCGAGCCAGCGGUGGCUAUCGCUGGAAAGGACUGGCGGACUUGUUCUCAGGCAUUAUCCGAUCAGAACCACCAAAUUCGCGACUUCACACGCAAUUGUGGCAACGAGUUUCUACGCUUGGGGUUUAACGUUCUCACUCACUGUACGCAGUAUGCUUAACUUACCCCCUUGGCCGUCUGGAGUACGUUUGCCCAUUACCCACGCGCUUUUGGCGUUAUAGUUAGCACUGGGUGAAUAGGGGCAAGGGAGGCAAGGAAUCAUCAACUGGUUUCCACCAAUGGCGACCCAUGUCCAUGAGAAUCCGCCACUCAAGGACAUGCAUGCCACAGAGUUUGGAGGUGAUGCAGCUCUUGUGUAUCAUGCAUAUAUAUACAGAUCUGUAUGUAUAUAUAUAUCUCUCUCUCUUGAGGAAUAGGUGGCUACCUUAAGGAUUUAUCCUUUUUGGCGUAGUGGUAAAACCUUCCUACAAGAUUGCAGUUCUGUCAUCCUGUCUAGAUGCAGAUUUGAUAUCUGGGAAUUGAAAAGAGGCACUACCACGGUUCACUUUAUAUAAGUCGAAC
rnacentral:sRNA from 2 species